GGGGAAUCUUCCGCAAUGGGCGAAAGCGUGACGGAGCAAUGCCGCGUGCAGGAUGAAGCGUCUACGACGUGUAAACUGCUGUCAGGGACUAGGAACCAUGACCAGUCCCAGAGGAAGGGCCGGCUAAUCUCGUGCCAGCAGCCGCGGUAAUACGAAGGGCCCGAGCGUUAAUCGGAAUCACUGGGCUUAAAGGGUGCGUAGGCGGAUGUGCCAGUGUCUUGUGAAAUCCCACAGCUCAACUGUGGAACUGCGGGGCAUACUGCACAUCUUGAGGUCGGUAGAGGUUGCCGGAACUGUAGGUGUAGCGGUGAAAUGCGUAGAUAUCUACAGGAACGCCAAAGGAGAAGUCAGGCAACUGGGCCGAUUCUGACGCUGAGGCACGAAAGCGUGGGGAGCAAACAGGAUUAGAUACCCUGGUAGUC
rnacentral:rRNA from 1 species